rnacentral:lncRNA from 1 species
UUUGUGGAGUGAGUAAAUCAUACAAACUUUAUAUUCUUUAUCAUUGUAAUGUUUGAAGUAGGCUAGUCAUGUUCUUUAAAGUUAAUGUAAUUAUUUCAUAUAGCGAAUUUAGACAGUACAUAAGGAGGAGUUCAAGAAGAAGACCAUCGCCUACUGAGAUAGAGAGGAGAGUUAAUAAAGAGUUUGUUGAUUGGUUCCAAAAGUGGGUAAGUAAUCAUUAGUUAUUAUUUACAUUUGAUUUUAAUGACACUAAGACAAUUUUAUUUUGAUUUAGAUUAUGAAUCCAGACACAAUAGAUACAAUGUCUAUUAAUGACAACAACAACAACAACAACUACCCAGUACAUUUGAUUUUAAUGACACUAAGACAAUUUUAUUUUGAUUUAGAUUAUGAAUCCAGACACAAUAGAUACAAUAUCUAUUGAUCUAAAGUUUCUUGCACGAGGUCCAUCGGCACAUGCAAGAAGUUUUACUGCAUAUAACAUCAAUGGGUCCAAAUUUCGAACUUUGGCCCGAGAAGAAGAUCUACAAACACAGAAUAGUGGAGUUUUCUUAACCUCUAAAACAUCAUGUAUUGCAAGUAGUGUAGACGGAAAUUUAAGGCAAGCAGAGUUACCAUAUUAUGGGAAGAUAGAAGAUAUUAUUGAGAUUAAUUAUAAUGGUCGGUUCAAGGUGGUUCUUUUCAAAUGUAGAUGGGCUGAUACUGCCCGAGAUAGAGGGUAUAAAAAGGAUCGUUGGAAAUUGUGUUAAUUUUGAUAAAUUGAUUCAUACAGGUGAACGUGAAGAACAUGAGCCUUAUAUCGAAGCAUCUCAAGCACAACUAGUGUACUAUGUGGAUGAUGUUGUCAAUAAAGGGUGGAGUGUUGUUGUGCAUCUAAAGCCAAGAGAUCUAUAUGAUAUGGGACAAGUAGUGGAAAAAUGAUGUAUAUGAGAAUGAACCAUAC